UGCAAGUCGAGGGGCAUCACAUGAAGUAGCAAUACGGAUGGUGGCGACCGGCGCACGGGUGAGUAACGCGUAUGCAAUCUACCUACAACAAGGGGAUAACCCGUUGAAAGACGGACUAAUACCCUAUAAUACAGGGGUCCCGCAUGGGAAUAUUUGUUAAAGAUUCAUCGGUUGUAGAUGAGCAUGCGUUCCAUUAGCUUGUUGGUGAGGUAACGGCCCACCAAGGCAACGAUGGAUAGGGGAACUGAGAGGUUUAUCCCCCACACUGGUACUGAGACACGGACCAGACUCCUACGGGAGGCAGCAGUGAGGAAUAUUGGUCAAUGGACGCAAGUCUGAACCAGCCACGUCGCGUGAAGGAAGACGGCCCUACGGGUUGUAAACUUCUUUUGUAAGGGAAUAAAGUGAGUCACGCGUGACUUUUUGCAUGUACCUUACGAAUAAGGAUCGGCUAACUCCGUGCCAGCAGCCGCGGUAAUACGGAGGAUCCGAGCGUUAUCCGGAUUUAUUGGGUUUAAAGGGUGCGCAGGCGGGAGAUUAAGUCGGCGGUGAAAUUUUGCAGCUCAACUGUAAAAGUGCCAUCGAUACUGGUUUUCUUGAGUGUAGAUGAAGUAGGCGGAAUUUGUGGUGUAGCGGUGAAAUGCAUAGAUAUCACGAGGAACUCCGAUUG
rnacentral:rRNA from 1 species